AUUGAACGCUGGCGGCAGGCUUUAACACAUGCAAGUCGAGCGGGGAAGGGUAGCUUGCUACCUGACCUAGCGGCGGACGGGUGAGUAAUGCUUAGGAAUCUGCCUAUUAGUGGGGGACAACAUUCCGAAAGGAAUGCUAAUACCGCAUACGCCCUACGGGGGGGGAAAAGCAGGGGAUCUUCGGACCUUGCGCUAAUAGAUGAGCCUAAGUCAGAUUAGCUAGUUGGUGGGGUAAAGGCCUACCAAGGCGACGAUCUGUAGCGGGUCUGAGAGGAUGAUCCGCCACACUGGGACUGAGACACGGCCCAGACUCCUACGGGAGGCAGCAGUGGGGAAUAUUGGACAAUGGGCGAAAGCCUGAUCCAGACAUGCCGCGUGUGUGAAGAAGGCCUUUUGGUUGUAAAGCACUUUAAGCGAGGAGGAGGCUACUUAGAUUAAUACUCUAGGAUAGUGGACGUUACUCGCAGAAUAAGCACCGGCUAACUCUGUG
rnacentral:rRNA from 1 species